rnacentral:rRNA from 1 species
AUUGAACGCUGGCGGCAUGCCUUACACAUGCAAGUCGAACGGCAGCACGGGGGCAACCCUGGUGGCGAGUGGCGAACGGGUGAGUAACAUAUCGGAACAUACCCUAGAGUGGGGGAUAACGUAGCGAAAGUUACGCUAAUACCGCAUACGAUCUAAGGAUGAAAGUGGGGGAUCUUCGGACCUCAUGCUCAUGGAGUGGCCGAUAUCUGAUUAGCUAGUUGGUGAGGUAAAGGCUCACCAAGGCGACGAUCAGUAGCUGGUUUGAGAGAACGACCAGCCACACUGGAACUGAGACACGGUCCAGACUCCUACGGAGGCAGCAGUGGGAAUUUUGGACAAUGGGGGCAACCCUGAUCCAGCAAUGCCGCGUGAGUGAAGAAGGCCUUCGGGUUGUAAGACCUUCGUCGGGACGGAUGAUGACGGUACCGCAG